UUACGGCCAUAUCACGUUGAAACGUCGGUUUUAGUACGAACAUUGAAGUUAAGCAUCGUCGAGCUUGGCCAGUAGCAGGAUGGGUGAUCACUUGGGAAUAUUACGUGCUGU